AUGCUUGAAUGUGAAAUUUUGGAGAGAAAGCGUAGCUGUGGAUAUUGUUCAGAGACAACCAUUAUAGUGUUAUGGAGUUGCAUAGAAGAUUUGCUUGCUUCUCCAGACAUGGGCCAUUGUGAGCCGUCUUUUGGCAUCAGUUCAGGUUGGGAUGUAUGGUUUGUGAAAAUGUGUCGAGAUUACUUGUCGAAUAGGUAGACAUGUGUAGGAGCUAAGUGAAUUGUGGAGAUGAAACUUUAUUUGUUAGUAGGUAUAGUUAAUGAUUGAGCUUUCAAUAUAGCUGAGUUUGCUUGACGUGACUUUUUCUCUUGUGCAUAUCAUGUUGAGCAUUUGAUUGUUUCUGUAUGUAUCAUGGGCGAGUGUAUUUUGUAUUGUUGUGUCUGAGUUUGUUCCGUUCAUAAAUUUUGCGUACAUGGUGAGUGAAGAGGUCCUUUAUGACAGGUACUUAGCUUAAAUAAGGAUGACUAAUAGAUACAUAUGUUGUGUAGUUAGAAUCGAUAUGGGGAAUAGUUGUCAUACUGGGGAACAGUGUAGUUACCGGUAUCUGCAUUCGUGUGAAAGUGACACUGGGAUAGUACAAAGUGUGUUAUGAAAGCAUUGCUUGUGAUAAUUGUUUGUAUGUAACGAGUCGUUGGUGACGCAUUUCUUGCUUUGACAGGAUGAAGCAGGCUAGAGAAUGUUUACCAUUUUCACCAAUUCCUGCUAAGGAUGUGAGCCACUCCAUGCUGCGAAGCCAUGGGAUAUGACAGAGAGGUUUACUAAGAGUUUCUGAAACUCGUUGAGAGGCAGUGUUGCAUUAUUACUUGGGCUGGUACCAGUUUACUGUUACUUGUGUAUUGUUGAGGGAAAGCAGUGUGCUAGAAGUAACGUAUAUUCAAGGCAGACAUACAAAUACGAAAAGUUUGUGCACAUCAAUGUGAGAUUUAAAGCACAACGUGGAAUGUUACUGAGGAUGAAGCAGGCUAGAGAAUGUUUACCAUUUUCACCAAUUCCUGCUAAGGAUGUGAGCCACUCCAAGCUGCGAAGCCAUGGGAUAUGACAGAGAGGUUUACUAAGAGUUUCUGAAACUCGUUGAGAGGCAGUGUUGCUUUAUUACUUGGGCUGGUACCAUUUACUGUUACUUGUGUAUUGUUGAGGGAAAGCAGUGUGCUAGAAGUAACGCAUAUUCAAGGCAGACAUACAAAUGCGAAAAGUUUGUGCAUAUCAAUGUGAGAUUUAAAGCACAACGUGGAAUGUUACUGAGUAAUAAUGCUGUAUACGAGUAGUGCAGAAAGCAAGUAUCAAAAGCCUAUUAUGAAAUAAACUAGGGAGGAUCAAAUAAAUAUGGAAUUCUUGCUGCAGAAAAGAGAUGAGCCAAUAAGUUAGUGAGGGCCAAGUGUUGUAUGCAUGUGGAUCUGGAAAAUAUCUCACCAGACAAUGGUUUUUGCAGUGAGAAUUAAAUGACUGGAAUGUGCAGAAAGAAAUAUUUGUUGAACCAGAGUGUCCAGCGGGAGUUUUGUGUGAGAUGCAAGGAAGGUAGACAUGACGAAGAUCAUGGCCCAAGCCGCCUACCAGUUCACCGUGCGAGCGAAUGGCUUUUGUUAAGUACUGUGUAAUUGUAUUGGCUGAUUUUGUUUGAGACAAUGUUUUCUCUCAUAGAGAUAUUUUCGCUUAUGGAAAUGUUGCUAUCAGCAUUUUGAAAUAAUCUUGUUUCUAAAUUUGUCUUUAAUUUUGACUGUGCUAAAAAUGAAGCAGGCACUAGUUGUGUAUGUCAGAUAUAUUAAAAUGGUGGUUGACUUGUUUUGAAGUUUUAGACACGAAGGCUGAGCUUAAAAAUGUGGUGUGAUCUAAUAAUCUAAUGAAAUGAUGGGAAUUGUGCUUCCUGUGGGAAUAUAAGUAGGUCAGUAGGUCAGAUAAUAAGGCUCAGUUAGUUUUAAGUUCAGAAUUUUAGUGUGGCGUUGUAAAAAAAAUCGUUUUCUGCAUUGGUUGUUGGGGUAUGCAUUUGUAUUACUGUUGCGAUGGAGUUUAAUUUUUGAGGCUUGAUUGUGCAUCGAUUCUGUAGGCUAUGUGUUUAAAAUGAUACUGGUUAUUUGUUUGCUACUGCUAAUAUGGGCACCUACAGUUAGCAAAUAUGUUUUUGUAAAUGAAUCUCUAAUGUGGGAUCUGAUGGCGUGUACAUUUAUCAUUAGCUGUGAGGAAGACCUUGCAAAUGGUAGUUAGCCAGCAACUAUAAAAAAAUGCUAAACGUUUGCAAACAGAAUGUGGAUCUCUAUUGUUGAAAUUUGAUGAGAACAUAUGAAGUCGGUCCCUGAUGGUAGACAUUCUUUUGACCAAGAGAAGAACUACAGAAGUGACACUGUGCUACAGGCUGUUAAGAGCAAAGCAGUUGGACAAAUAAUGGAAGUAACUGAGCGACAUGUUGUUGAGGUGCAUGUGAAGAAAGACUAUGAAUACAGGUUACCUCCAGACCCACGGCAAGUCCCCUAACAGGUACAGGUUAGCUCCUGAUGUAUGGAGUCCCCUAACAGGGACACUGUUGUUAUUAUUUUCUUUUGCAGGAUUAUAUGUGCUGGUCUUCUGUUGGUUGUUAACAACCUCUUCUAGAAAAGGACAGAUAAUAGUAGAGAAGUCAAAGUAUUGGAGGAAGGUUGUAAAGUAAUAGCGUCAUGGCUCCUCAGUGCAAAGUAUUUAACAGAAAAAGUAGGCUAAUGACUGUUGAGGACACACAUAAUGUACAAUACAAUUGGAAAAUAGCAGUGUGUCUGCACUGAGGGACAAUGUGCCUCAACUUUCUUCUAAGUCAAAGAAUUGUAGAAUCAUGACAUUUUCCAUGAGCCUAAAUUUGGAAUGUGUAUGGUGAAUGCUGAUUGACGACAGUGGAGGUUAGUGAGCAUUUACAUUAUGAUUGUAGAUAUUUUCAGUAUAUGUCGAUGAACACAGAAGAAGUUACACAGGGAUGGAAAAAAUGAAAAAUGUGCCGUCAUGUACCAGACACAAUGCUUGAAUGUGAAUUUUUGGAGAGAAAGUGUAGCUGUGAAUAUUGUUCAGAGACAACCAUUAUAGUGUUAUGGAGUUGCAUAGAAGAUUUGCUUGCUUCUCCAGAUACGGGCCAUUGUGAGCCGUCUUUUGGCAUCAGUUCAGGUUGGGAUGUAUGGUUUGUGAAUAUGUGUCGAGAUUACUUGUCGAAUAGGUAGACAUGUGUAGGAGCUAAGUGAAUUGUGGAGAUGAAACUUUAUUUGUUAGUAGGUAUAGUUAAUGAUUGAGCUUUCAAUAUAGCUGAGUUUGCUUGACGUGACUUUUUCUCUUGUGCAUAUCAUGUUGAGCAUUUGAUUGUUUCUGUAUGUACCAUGGGCGAGUGUAUUUUGUAUUGUUGUGUCUGAGUUUGUUCCGUUCAUAAAUUUUGCGUACAUGGUGAGUGAAGAGGUCCUUUAUGACAGGUACUUAGCUGAAAUAAGGAUGACUAAUAGAUACAUAUGUUGUGUAGUUAGAAUCGAUAUGGGGAAUAGUUGUCAUACUGGGGAACAGUGUAGUUACCGGUAUCUGCAUUCGUGUGAAAGUGACACUGGGAUAGUACAAAGUGUGUUAUGAAAGCAUUGCUUGUGAUAAUUGUUUGUAUGUAACAUGUACAUGGUGACGCGUUUCUUGCUUUGACAGGAUGAAGCAGGCUAGAGAAUGUUUACAGUUUUCACCGAUAACUGCUAAGGAUGUGAGCCAUUCCAUGCUUCGAAGCCAUGGGAUAUGACAGAGAGGUUUACUAAGAGUUUCUGAAACUCGUUGAGAGGCAGUGUUGCAUUAUUACUUGGGCUGGUACCAGUUUACUGUUACUUGUGUAUUGUUGAGGGAAAGCAGUGUGCUAGAAGUAACGUAUAUUCAAGGCAGACAUACAAAUGCGAAAAGUUUGUGCAUAUCAAUGUGAGAUUUAAAGCACAACGUGGAAUGUUACUGAGGUAAGGAAUGGUGAUUGGACGCCUUAGUUUUGUCGUAAAUUUAAUUUGGCCGGAAUGAGAAGUCGAUUGCAAUUUUAUUAUGUGUGAUGUAUUUAGUAUUACCUAAAACUUGCAAAGUGCGUGCUUUGAUAUGACACCUUGAGAGAAACAGGUUCUGGUCUUUAGUUAUGUGCAUAUUUCUAAUGUUGAAAUGUUAAUUGUAUUUGGAUUGGCAAAUUUGUUGAAUUAUGUAAUGUCAGUCAGUUGAAGUGUUGUUUUAAUAUAAAAGACAACUGCAGCAUUACAAGUGUUGCACAGUGCUACUGAGUAAUGUGAAAUGUUUUGGAGUGACACCCCAAAUGAUUAUGCUUUUAUCAAUAAAUUUUGUGUUGUUAAUGUACUUAACCAUAACAUUGUGCAUGACGGCCAGUAUGUGCAACUGUUGAUAAAUUGUUUAAUCCUUCCAGUAAUAAUGCUAUAUACGAGUAGUGCAGAAAGCAAGUAUCAACAGCCUAUUACGAAAUAAACUUGGGAGGAUCAAAUAAAUAUGGAAUUCUUGCUGCGGAAAAGAGAUGAGCCAAUAAGUUAGUGAGGGCCAAGUGUUGUAUGCAUGUGGAUCUGGAAAAUAUCUCACCAGACAUUUUGGAGUGAGAAUUAAAUGACUGGAAUGUGGAGAAAGAAAUAUUUGCUGAACCAGAGUGUCCAACCGGAGUUUUGUGUGAGAUGCAAAGAAGAAAUGACUCUGUUCCACCAAUGAAUCAGCUAAUAGGGACACUCAAAUAUUUUGCCCCUGGUGAUUUCCUUCUGUCCAUUGGAGACUUUAUUGGUAUUGACGAGGGGACAGCCAGCAACAUUAUUAAAAAGAUGUGUGUGACACAGGACAACAUGCACAAGAGAGAGUUUUUUUUAAAUUAUUUGUUCUCUGAUGUAAUAAAAUGAAAAUAGAAAUAUAUAUAUAUAUAUCUAAAAACAAAGAUGAUGAGACUUACCAAACAAAAGCGCUGGCAGGUCGAUAGAUACACAAACAUACACACAAAAUUAGGCAGACAGUGUUUGUUGGUAAUGAGGAUCACCCUGUGGCUAAACAUGCCUUGGUGCACGGCCAGCAUUCUUGGGACAGUGUUACACCGUCCGGGUUAUCUGGAUACUUCCCACUAACACCAACCUGUCAGAACUCCGGAGAUGGGAACUUGCCCUUCAGUAUAUCCUCUCUUCUCGUUAUCCGCCAGGCCUCAACCUCUGCUAAUUUCAAGUUGCCGCUGCUCAUACCUCACCUGUCUUUCAACAACAUCUUUGCCUCUUUACUUCCGCCUCGACUGACAUCUCUGCCCAAACUCUUUGCCUUUUCAUUUGUCUGCUUGUGUCUGUGUAUGUGUGGAUGGAUAUGUGUGUGUGUGUGCGAGUGUAUACCUGUCCUUUUUUCCCCCUAAGGUAAGUCUUUCCGCUCCUGGGAUUGGAAUGACUCCUUACCCUCUCCCUUAAAACCCACAUCCUUUCGUCGAAAAUCUUGAAUUUUGUGUAUAUGUUUGUGUUUGUUUGUGUGUCUAUUGACCUGCCAGCGCUUUUGUUUGGUAAGUCUCAUCAUCUUUGUUUUUAGAUAUAUUUUUCCCAUGUGGAAUGUUUCCCUCUAUUACCGAACGAAAGUGCUGGCAGGUUGAUAGAUACACAAAUGUGUUCUUGAACAACUUCUUUUAUUAUGAACCUUGUGUUCAAAAAUACAGCACUAUUACUGUUAAUGCAAUGUCAACGGAAAACACUUGUUCAUAACACCUUAUGACAGCAGAACAUUUCAACACCAAAAAAUACCACUUCACAAGACCUGACAAACAUAGAACAAUUUAAUACUCAACAACACGUGGUACUGUUUAUCAAUGGCAUCGCAACAGGGAUACUUUACCACUUUAACUGCUGGUGGCGCAGAAGGGAAAGCCGGCUUGCCACUGGUGUUACCUGGUCAACAAUGUCACGUCCUCUCAGCACCCCUCCCAACUGCAAAGGGAAGAAGUCACAAAGAACAGUCCAAUGGCACUGCAUAGUGGGUCCACUCAAGCAAUUAACAUCAAGAAAGAUGAUCAGAAAUUAUUCAGAAGGCAAAGAUGACACACAUAUUGAACUGGAUGCAGAUCAUACAUGAGAGGAAUACAUCAUAAGCAUCCACCCAUAACACUCAAUUUUGGUGUCCUAGUGCAGAAUAUGAAAUAGUGGUGCAAAAAGAAGAAAGCAUUUAUUGUUUAUCAAGAAUUUUGGCGAGAAUAAUAGAAGAAGAUGAUAUGGUGCAGAGAGAAACUUUAAUCACUAAAUGAGAAGGUGUAAGUGGGCAGAGGCAGGUGUGAUUUGAACAUUUGAGAAAAAUGCCCUUAAUGUGAUUGAGGCCGAUGAAGUGUUAAUUAUUAUAAAAAGUUAGACAAAAGAUGUUAAUUGACCAUAGCAAUGAGUAAAAGAUAUUUAUGCACUUAAGUAACAUAAGUGAAGAAGAAUCUUGAUGCCUGAUUGGUUGAGCUGUGAACAGCAUUAACCUUAUAAUUUUCUUAUUAAUAAUUUAUUUUGUGAAAAGAAGUAAAACACAUUUCACUGGUUUUGUGUGUCAGUUUGAAAACAUACUAACAUUACUUGAGGGGUAUUAAGCAUAUAUAUUGUUGCCUGACUGUUUACCUGUUAGUGUCCACACAGUGGAGGCAGUUUUCAGGAAUAUUAAGAAAAUUUGGUGAGUGUAGAUAAUGUCUUCAAUGUAGGUAAUUUGAAGGCAUUACCUACAAACAAAUCCAGGGUACGGCUAUGGGCACUCGCAUGGCACUUUUUGUUGUUCCUAUCUGUGACUCAGCAUCUCCGCCAUAUGGUGAUUGGCAACUUUCCUUCUCAUAAUAUUAUUUAUUUAAUGAUUGGUUGAACCUGAAGGAAGUUUUUUGAACUAUGAGACCAAUAAAGUGAGCCAUUCAUUCAAUUGUAGCAGAUCAGCUGUUAUAAUAGGUGAGUUACACAUUAUCACUGUAGCAGGACCGGUAACACCAUAAUGCACAAAUAAUAUAGCAUGCUGUGAAGUUAAUUCUCUACAUUGUCCUAUACUAUAUUAGUACCUAGUUUAAUAAGUUACAUGAGUGAGUAUGUGCAAUAUUGACAUGUUAAAGGAAUUCAAAUUC